CGCUUGGGGUGGAUAUACCUCGGCUCGAGUGUCCGGAGUCGAUUUGUAUCUGCGCGAAGUUGGUACGAGAGAAGAUGGCUUCGGGGACACUAAUCCUGUAAUCGGAAAACCAAGCAGAGGCAUAAGAAGAAGAAGAAUAUACGAGCGGUUACACAAUGUGGAAGAGAGAGAACAGUAAGACCGAGCUCUGUCCAAUAUUUUGGAUAGCGAUCGGUAUCUAUCAUGAAUUUGCAUUUGCAAUUCCUGAUUCGCAGCCGAUCAUGCCGAUGUUUAUUUAAAAAAAAAAAAAAAAACCAAGGAUGCCAUAUGUGUUUCUAUUUGCCACACUAUCAUUGCGACUGCUUUUAUACAUCCCAGGACAACUAGCAAUCCAUUUGCGAGAUGAUCUUUCAUGGUAGCUGCCUUGGCCUUGGAUUGGCUGCAACGGGUUCGCAUAGACAAGACGUUUAUGAACAAUUAAGAUCCAAUUUGUAUGAAAUGACGUGAUUGGUGAAGCGACUGGAGUCACUACGGAAAUGAUUAUACUGAGGUCCA